rnacentral:rRNA from 1 species
AGUGAACGCUGGCGGUAGGCCUAACACAUGCGAGUCGAACGGCAGCACAGUAAGAGCUUGCUCUUACGGGUGGCGAGUGGCGGACGGGUGAGGAAUACAUCGGAAUCUACUUUUUCGUGGGGGAUAACGUAGGGAAACUUACGCUAAUACCGCAUACGACCUACGGGUGAAAGCAGGGGAUCUUCGGACCUUGCGCGAUUGAAUGAGCCGAUGUCGGAUUAGCUAGUUGGCGGGGUAAAGGCCCAGCAAGGCGACGAUCCGUAGCUGGUCUGAGAGGAUGAUCAGCCACACUGGAACUGAGACACGGUCCAGACUCCUACGGGAGGCAGCAGUGGGGAAUAUUGGACAAUGGGCGCAAGCCUGAUCCAGCCAUACCGCGUGGGUGAAGAAGGCCUUCGGGUUGUAAAGCCCUUUUGUUGGGAAAGAAAAGCAGCAGGUUAAUACCCCGCUGUUCUGACGGUACCCAAAGAAUAAGCACCGGCUAACUUCGUG